UCUUCCAAGUGGAACUAUAGUGAAAUUUACUAUGGGCUUAUCAUACUCAUCAUAGUAUCUGACUGAAGGAUGCCAGGACAGUUUCAAGGGUCAUGUUUAACAUUAGUUUUGUUACACAAUAUAAGCAAACAGCAGAAAUCCUGGAUAUUUUGUAUUUGUAUUCUUGGUGUUUUUUAAAAAACUGGGUGUCCAUCAAAUGAACACAUAUUAAACCAGAGUCACUUGCCUUGUAACUGAGCCCUCAUAUGACCAAUUUUAAAACUACUCUGGCUAAGACUUCCAGGCUUCCAGUGCUAUGUGGAAUAGAAGAGGAGAAAAGGCAACAGCAACUGAAAUCUUUGAAACUCCCCAAGUUACCAGUACCACUCUUACAAGUUGUUAAAAAGAUGGCUUUGGCAGUACUUGCCAGACUUGUUAGCUGUAAAUCAUGGUGCUCAAUCAAGCCCGAGUGGAAUGCUUUUUUUUUUUUUUUUUUUUUUUUUGCUAUUCAAAUUGGUCCUGAUAUGUCCUUUUUAUGAGAGGACACUACACACACAGGAGAAGGUUCCUGAUCGUCGCUUUGUGCAGUUAUACCAAGAAAACAAUGCAGAUACACCUGAUGGUGAGGGUGGGGCGUAUAGAUGUUUGUUGUUUUAGAUGUUUUUGUUUGCUUGUUUUUGUUUUGUUUUGAGCUCUUGAAUUCUUAAAAGCACCUUUUGGAUCUUUUCCUCCUAUCCUACCUUUGAUGUAAAAACGCUGUCCGAUUAAAUGUCCACUUAGAAGGUU